CCCGGGGCCGGGGCUCGCCGUCCUGCUCCGCCCGACCCUUCGCGGGUCUGCACCCCGACUCCGGCCCUGGUCUCGUGACCUUUGGAGACGGACCUCCGGGAGGUGAAAGUCAAGGUGUGGAUUCUGCAGUGCUGCACAGACACCCACUGCAGCCUCAGACCAGCAGCGGCGGAGGCAGCAGCAGCGACAGCAGCAGUGGGGCGGCAGCUUCUCCCUAAGCCAAGUAGUAAAGUAAAUGAAGAAGUGUGGUCUCAAAAUAUGCAUAGAGAAAAUACCCCCAAAAUCUGCAAUUGAUUUUCUUUGCGGUCUUUGUUAACUAUCUGUGUGAUCUUCAACAAGUGAUUUUCACUUCUUUGCCAGGGAGGUCAUUGAGAGACAAAUCUGGCACUUACUUCAGGGAACACCCGGCGUAUGGCAGGGAAAGACAACAGCCCAUUGUUCCUGGGGAGAAGCUAUGACUUCAGCAAGCUGCCCUUAAGUCACAGACUGAACGUCCAACCAGGCAGCCUUCAAGGUCUGAUUCUGGAAAACAGACUCAGCUUAGUGACUCUGAAGAUGCUCUGCCCUUCUUCAUCCUGACAUUGGUGACCACACAUGUUGAUCCAGGCCAGAGCUUGAGACUCACCUAACUUCCCAAGAGGGAAAUACGGGCAUUAAGGAAUGAGUGAGAGGAAUAUGUUAUUCCAUACUUCAGAGAUGCAGUCAGCAAGAUCCUGAAUGAAGGAAACUGAAGGAAACAGACAUUUCUUCAAUAAUCUAACUUCUGAGGUCUAUUAGGCCCCAAAGAAAAAGUAGUUGAGAUGGGCUGAGGAAUGGGAUAAGCCAGUGCUUUGUUGGGGAAAAGAAAAUGGAGCACAGGUGCUAUCUUGGAGAUGCUCCUUCACAAGCAAAGUCCCUCCAACAGAGACAUGACGUCAUACAGAUCUGGCUGAUGCGUUGCACAAGAACGGGGCAUUUAUUUAAGGCCUCUGUGUAUCAGGUGACCAGGAUUUAAACUUUCUUUUUGGCUCAGCUACUGUUUAUUUCCCUGAGUAAAACUUCCUCUGAUCUGCCUUCAACUUUGAGACCUCACAGAUUGACCCCAAAGGACCUAGACAGCUGUCCUGUGGGGGGCUUCGGCAGCUCCAGACUCCCCCUUGUGGUGGCAAGAUGGCUACAAGACUUCCAGCUUCCAUUGUAUAAAUUUUCGGUCAGCAAACCUUUUCUGUAAAGACAAACGUUGGGUCUUUUGUGUGAAUGAACUGAUCUCCAGAGCACAACCCAGCCGUCUGCCUGUCUUCCAGUGUCUCCUUCCACGUGUUUCUCAAGAUGCUGUCUGAGGACUACAGCUUUCUACAUCAGAUUUCCUGGCUGUCUGCUUCACGUAAAGACUGACCACAUUAUGGCCACCAGAUGGUUCCCAGAAUGUUGUGAGAGAUGGUGCCUGGGCCAACCCUCUUUCUCACGGCCUUUCCCUGUGGAAAACACCCUGCCCUGGUGGGCAGUGCUGAGGACAAGCUGUGCUGACUGAACCCAGGGCUUCCCCAGCCCAGCAUCUUGUCUCUCAACUUCUGCUGUUCAGUUAGCACCUUAGAGAAAAAACCUCAGUGUUUCUGAGGCUUGGCGCAGGGAAGGGAGAUGUCACACUUCACAGGAAUGCUACAGAGGCCUCUAAUCAGCUCCAGAGGCCCUCCUGCUCCUCUGGCCCACCACAGUGCAAUGAUUUCUCUGCCUCAGACCUGGGCAUUUUCUGGAAGCCUGAGCCACUUCUGAAGCACAAGAAGAGGAUUCCAGAAAAUGCAGGAAGGCCUCAGAGAAGUUGAGGUACUCGGCUGGAGCUAACUAACAUAACAGUGUUCGCAUUCAGGCAGGUGCUGGGCACUAAAUUCUGUAACAGGGGAACUAUUAGCAUCUUCCAGGAGUCAGGCUCCACCCUUAGUGGAGCAUCAGCUGCUUGGGGUUCCCAGUAGCCGGAGAACAGCUUGCUCAAUGCUGGCCACAAGAGUAGAUUCUUCUGACUUCUUACUCCCUCCUGAGAGAAAAAAAAAAAAUCCAUCUCCAAAGGCAAGAAUUAUGCAAAUAAAACAUUCAUAGAAUCAGUCAAGUUCAUAUUCAGCUCCUGGAGGAAUAGAGUCAAGGCAACACAAGGAGUCAGUUUGUCUAGGACUGUGUUAUCCAAUAUGGCAGCCACUCACCACCUCUGGUUAUUUAAAUAUAAAUUAAGUAAAACUAAAUAAAGUGACUCAGUUUUUCAGUCAUUUUUGGCCAUAGGGGUGCUCUGUGGCAGCAGGAUUCUAGAGGCCACCAUACUGGACAAUGCAAAAUUAAUAUUUUUACUUUGCAAAAAGGUCUAUUGGAAAACACUGGUCUACAGUUGAGGAGGCCAACUUCAGAGAAUGGGUAUUGCUCUGGCUGGGCCUGGAAGGAUAGCAGAAUUAGAUAGAAGAGGAGCAGAGGUGUCUUCCAGGUGAGAGAAACUGAAACUAUAUGCAGAAGUUAAAAUGAACCUGCCGUGUGGAUGCAACAGGUAGUGGGGAGGGCCAGCUACAUGAGAGAAUUCCUUUUGAGGGAAAGGAUGGCUUUCACAAUUCCCUCCUGUGCUGAUGGGCAUAGGGAAUAGAGGGAGAAGCCCUUCUUCCUCUUACUUAUCGCCCCUGUAUCCCAUUCCUCAAGGUUACUCUACCCCAUGGAGGAGAGUUCUAACUGGACUUCAAGCUCCUGGUGUCAGGGGAGUGAUAGGCUGGCGUCACAACGCUAAUGAUGCACUCUCUUUAAAACACUGUCAGGGAUGGGCUAGCAUGGGAAUCCAAACCUGUGACCUGUGACCUCCCUCUCCCUAUACCCCGGGUUUCUGGCAGGCUGACCUCCAAACCUCUUGGCAAAGAGGCCUGGGGGAAGUCAGUCCUGCUUGUGAGGCUCAACCAUGUUGCGUGCGUAGCAGAGGUCUGUUCCUUCCAGUGGUCUGUUCCUUCCCAUGUCUUGUUAUGCUGCUCAAGCUUAUGGCGAGAUCACACUUCAUUCUGCUUUUUGUGGACAUUCGAAUAGUUUGUGAUUUGGGGCUGUAAUGAAAAGUGCUACAAUUGUAUGUGCCAUUUGGUGAACAUAUGUGUUCAAUGUGCAAACCUAGGAGAGGGUUUUCUGGGUCAUUCUUUGCUAGAUAUUGGAACAAAUAUUAGAACAGUAAUAUCCUGUCCUCUUUCUUACAGUGGGGGCAGUGAUCCCUGAGGUCCUCCUAAAGCUCACAUGGGCAGAACCAGAGCUCCAGAUCUGUUGGCACGUAUCCAAGGGGUACCAGGAGCCCCCAAACUUGCACUCUGUAAGGGGGUUUGACAUUCAUGAAUAUAAAGACAGAAAAAGUAAAUUCUUAAUGUUAAAGAUCUUUAAUAGAGUUAGUGUGCAUAGAGAGGAAAGAGAUGUUAUUUUCCCCAAUAAGUCACCCAAAGUUACCCAUUCCCACGUGGGUAAAUGCCUAGCAAAACAAGAUUGGCCUGAAGUAGGGCAUUGAUGCCCAAAAGCUUGUCACAAGUCCAAUGCACCGUCUAUCAGGAAACCACAGGAAGGAGGUAAAAGGAGCCAGCCAAGUCCGGGACAAAAGGAACAAAAAUCAAAGUACAAUUCAAGAUAACAGCCACCAGUGUCAGCCUCCCCACAUGUCUCUCACCCAUGUGUCUCUUUCAAAUGUCUCUACAUGUCUCUCCUCCACGUGUCUACCUCCCAGCAGUACCGGGGUUAGAGACCAGCCAGCAGAAGCAAGAGCUCUCUUCCCUUUAGUCCACCUGCCUUCCGUGUCAUACAGCUUCACCUGACCACUCAGCACUGCCCCUCUCGCUCCCAGCAGCUAGUCCAAGGCAGCUGCAUUUAAGUGUUAGAGCCAGGACCUCUUCAGUUCACCCUGUUGCUUCUCUGAGAGAUCAGUUGCAUCCCUUUUCUCUGUACUCUGUGCCAGGCUCCCCCUCCCCCAACACUCCCUCCUCUCUCUGCCCUUCCUCCACCACUCCUUACCUCCCCUGGGGCACAGCUGCAUGCAAAGGAACCCACAGUCCUUUAGGGCAUUUACAAUGUUGUUCUUAACUCAAUUUUAAUCCACCUCUUUUCUGAUGAAGCUCUAUUAUUCGUAUAGUACCUCUAUGCCUUUUUGUUCUGAACUCUCACUGUCACUAUUGUCCUCCCUAGACCUUCCCUGAAUGACACCUAUAAUCCCCAACACCUUUCAUUUUCAACAUAUUGGUGGGUACCUUCUCUAGGAAUACCUGGUGUGGCACUGGUCAGAUGGCCCAUCACAGGUGUGAUAAGGAUAACACUGACCACAGCUCCUCCCAUUGGCUAUCAGGACCUCCUUGGAGGCACAAAGUGCAAGAGUAAGGGUGUCCCAGGUGGGUGCUGGUGUGGAUGCCGAAGGACAGGUGGACAGGCUGCAAAUCCAGCCGCACAGAUAGCUGGCCUGGGCUGGGCUAGGCUCCUGGACCAGGCACUGCCCAGGGCACAAAUUGUUCUGUUUAGACUUUGGCAGCUGUGGUUCUCUUGAACCGUGAAGACAGAGGAGGGUUUACUCUUCUGUAAAUGUUGGCCUUUUAGUGAGGUCCUUCCUGACAGUUUUAAAUAGAAUGUACCCUGCCCCACUCCCCAUGUCCUGAUUUCCCUUCCCUGCUUUUUAUUUCUCUGUCGUGCUUAUCACCAUCUCUAACACUGUUUAUUUGUUUUGUGGCUUGUCUUUAUACACUAGGAAAUAAAUCCGGCAUGGGCCAGAAUUUCUGUUUUCCUUUUCUGCCCUGUCAUCACCACCUAGAAUGGCACACAGUAGGACCUAAAAAAAAGUUAAAUACAUGAAUGAAUCAGAGUUAUCUAGAAAUGAUCACAGUCCUACUUCCUCUCCUUUUUUAGGUUCUCAAACUCAAAAGGGCUGAUAUUCUAAGCUCCUAAUGCUGCAUGAUACCGCUUAGAUAUUUUUUUUUGAUAUUUUUUUUUUUUUUGACAGGAUGAGAACAAUUUCUCCUUUUCUACCCUAUAACACAAAGACUGGGCAUGUGAGUUGGGAGGAAGGGAACAGUUUAGCUGGAGGGUAGAUCAACUUCAGCUGAAACUGGAACCAAAGAUCCCUGAGUUUAAUACCCACCUGAGAAGGGGCAGGACUGAGUGAGCUUGAACUCCCCUGUGUGGCUGAGCAUAAUGCCCAGCAUGUGGUGGGCAAUUAAUAAAUAUUGCCUGAUCCAAUCCAUCUCAUACUGUCUGCUCACUACUCAUCCCAAUCAAUAGAGCUUUGCAAAGAGAUGGUGAUUUUUCUAACUUUGUACAUCUAAACUUGGGGAACCUGAGCUCUGUGGAUAGAAAAAAGUCCUGAAUACUGAGGGCUGUGUGUGCUGUAUUUAAUGACAAUGAGUGUCUACUAUGUACCAGGGACUAGCCCCUGCAGAUGUGGGGACCAGGACUGGAACAGUCCCUGACAUCAGAGAGCUUGGAUUUGUGGAGGCUGCACAGCUGACCCCUGACUUGGUUGACAAGGCACGGAAGGUUUCCUAAUGGGAGAGACAUUUUCCUGAACCCUGAAGAUAAGCACAAGUUAACCAGGUAAAAAAAAAAAUAUUGGGACAGAGAGGGAGAAGGAGAGUUUGAUUUGAGGCACAAAGAAAGGUCCCUUUGAGGAACUGGAAGGUGAGGCAGGAGUCCAGAGAGAGGGCACUGGUGGGAUGGAGGGUUGACCAGCAUAGCUGCCUAAGGUUUUUAGAAUUUCAGAGACUGAAAGUUAACUGCAGUUAACAGUCCCUGCAAACUAGUGAUUGUGAUGGAUGACAAAAUCUUGAGAGUAUUAAUCUAUUACAUUUUUUCUUUUUAUUAUUGAACACCCACAUGAUUCCAGUCCCACCUAACAUCAAAGAGAGGAAGAAAGACCUGCUUGGUGCCAAGGUCACACAAUAGAAACUUUUUGUCGUAUUCUCCAUUUAAGAGCAGUUCCUCCUUUGCUCUUCCUGAAGCUGCUACAUGACGUCUUUGUGCCAAAGAGCUGGGGGAAGCCGUGGGACAGGCUGUUUUUACAGCUGUGCUGAACUCCAACCCGAGAAUUGUGCAUCCCACUCCUCUCACACUCAGGAGACUCCAGCGAAAAGGGAAGGAUGUAAAUCAUGCCCUCCCACAUGUGUUUUGAGCUCAUUUGUCUCUGAGCCUUGCCCAGGGGCCUCUUAAGUUUUACUCUUAAGUACUGAGCCAAAACUGCUGGGGAAGGUGACUUGUUAGCAUAACAGUGAGGCCUCCCCUAGCAAAUCAGCUUCUUGGUCUGUAGGUGUGCCUUGCUUUUCACAAUAAGGGCAUUAGCAAAACCUCAGAGGGAAGUGGCCACACGCUGGCCCUGGCUACCACCUCAUCUUCUGCAGGAGAAAACUGCUCUUCUCCCAAGUUCAGAGAUCUAGAUGGUCUCCAAGGGUAACUCCAGAUUGGGCAGUCAUUUUUAUGAGGAUGUAUAGAUACCAGAUUUUUAAAAUGCCCUGGGAGCUCACCAGUGAUAGUAGCGCUAACAUUCAUUUACUCUGUUCUUCAUGUUCCGGACACAGCACUCAGCGCUUUUCUGUGUUCUCUUGAAUAGGUCUUUAGAACAGAAUCUAGAAUCCUUUCUCCCAUUUUCCAGAUGAGGCUUAGAAAGGAAAAGUAAACCGCUCAAGUUCUCAGGGAUAGUAAGGGGCAGAACAGGAGUGCUGGGGUGGCUCUAAUGCCCCCAGGGGGCACUUAAGCAGUGACUGGAGAACCAGGCUGUGUAGGGUAAACACUCGCUCUUUUCAGUGCAACCAAAUUGCACCUCAAUGACUAAAAGCUAGGGGAAAAUCGGCUUGUUUGCACACCCCACAGACAAAUCCAGGGAUAGUGGGUGACAAAGACUUCAGUUUAUGGAGUGUUUUCUCCACAGGACCUGUUGGCCUGGGAAGCACCGAGGCCUGUGUAUCAGCAGUUAGUGGUUGAUGGGAAGUGCUGAUGUGCUGCUUUGCAGAACAGACCAGAUGCUUCUUUCUGCAAAUGGGUAAGACCCUGCUCCUCACACCUGGGAGGGCAGAGUCUCCAAGACUGUGUGCUGUUCCCAGACCUUCCCUUUUGGGGGCAUGUGCUCUGAGGCAACACUUGGUCUUGAUUUCUUUUUAAAAUCUGUAGAGGCCUUUUGGAUCUGCUGCUUAUUGUGUGAACUUCGCCCAAGGGAGGCCCACAGAGGCCCCGUGGCCUCCUCUUCACUCUCCUUCUUGCAGCACUCUGGCUCUUGUGAUUUGAUCAUCUGCUCCCCUCAUAAGCCCUCCACGUCUGUGAAGAUCUCAGUUGCCCACCCGUUAUUUAUCCAUCUAUAUCCACCUUUCUUCUAACCAGUCCGAAUCCAGGCCAAGCUUUGUGAGAUUCUCUAAGAGAAGGAGCCACAAACUGGGACAUGGACAGGGGCCUGGAAGGUAAUGUUGACACGCCUGCGUGGUCAAGCAGAGGGCACCCUGUCCCAUGGCAAGGGAACAGCGUCUGCUCAGCACCUGCAACUUGUUGCUGCUUGGAAGUAAGGAUCCCUGCUGCCAAACCAGCCUUGAGAUUUUACAAAGCAAAUUGAAGAUAUGGGUUUUUAAACAGUAAACAUUUUUCUUUUUAGA